GACGAACGCUGGCGGCGUGCUUAACACAUGCAAGUCGAACGGAAAGGCCCAGCUUUUGUGGGGUGCUCGAGUGGCGAACGGGUGAGUAACACGUGAGUAACCUGCCCUUGACUUUGGGAUAACUUCAGGAAACUGGGGCUAAUACUGGAUAGGAGCUCCUGCUGCAUGGUGGGGGUUGGAAAGUUUCGGCGGUUGGGGAUGGACUCGCGGCUUAUCAGCUUGUUGGUGGGGUAGUGGCUUACCAAGGCUUUGCCGGGUAGCCGGCCUUGGAGGGUGACCGGCCACAUUGGGACUGAGAUACGGCCCAGACUCCUACGGGAGGCAGCAGUGGGGAAUAUUGCACAAUGGGCGGAAGCCUGAUGCAGCAACGCCGCGUGCGGGAUGACGGCCUUCGGGUUGUAAACCGCGUUCGCCUGUGACGAAGCGUGAGUGACGGUAAUGGGUAAAGAAGCACCGGCUAACUACGUG
rnacentral:rRNA from 1 species